UGCCCCUCUUCCUUUUGAAGAUCCACUUAUACCCUAUGGGUUUUAACCUUUCAGGUGGGUUAACUAAUGUCCAUAUAUCAUUGAUCUUCAUGGCCUUCAUUUCGAAUUUCAUGACUUCUAGCCACUUAUCAAAGUCAGACCUCUGCAUUGCAUCCAUGUGAGUGAUGGGAUCCUCAUUAUUCUCAUUGAAUUUAAUAGGAUCACCAUCCUGAACCAAAAAAUCAUAGUAUUUAUUCGACUG
rnacentral:lncRNA from 1 species